GGGGGUGCACUGGCUUCGACGGGGGUUGCGAAAUCGUCUGGCGCAUGCCGAGGGGGUAGCUUUCCUCGCUAAUCCAGCUGCAAAAAACAUAGUUGCCAACGACGACAACUACGCUCUGGCCGCCUAAGGCCUAGCCCCGAAACCGCUUGUGCCUGUGCUCGCGGCGUAGGGUCAUUAUCACAGGAUCGAUGCUGGCGGCGACCCGUCAACCAGCAUCUAAACAAAGCGGGUAUGUCCUGUGGCGUGCUUCGCACGUCGUGUUGCCACAGGCCGAGACUAAACGGCGAGCUAAGCAUGUAGUGCCGGGCAUGGAGUGCCUUCGGACGGCGGUUCAAUUCCGCCCACCUCCACCA
rnacentral:tmRNA from 1 species